GACAGAGGGUGCAAACGUUGUUCGGAAUUACUGGGCGUAAAGCGCGUGUAGGCGGCCCGGAAAGUCGGAUGUGAAAGCCCUGGGCUUAACCUAGGAAGUGCAUUCGAAACUCCCGUGGCUUGAGUUCUGGAGAGGGAAGCGGAAUUCUCGGUGUAGAGGUGAAAUUCGUAGAUAUCGAGAGGAACACCGGUGGCGAAGGCGGCCUUCUGGACAGUGACUGACGCUGAGACGCGAAAGCGUGGGGAGCAAACAGG
rnacentral:rRNA from 1 species